rnacentral:sRNA from 1 species
CGAACAAACAAGCCUGUCCCUACUCCUC